GAGUAGCGAGGGCUUAUAUACAUUGCCCCUACAGUGAGAGGGCGCUCGACCAGAAUUCGGUCGCGCAACAUUGAGUAUCUUGCCGGUGUGUUUGUGAGGAGGGAAGAGCGUGCAGACACGUUGCUCCUCGCAAGUGAAACACCAAUCUUAAAUCAUUUUCUGUUCUGUUAGGCCUAAAUAAGUUUAGAAUAUAUCUAAAAUUAUUUUUCAUGAAUAAAAAUCUUAAAUCAAAGAUGUUUAUUGCCUAUGAAAAUGCAAUUUGAGCAGGUGAAUGACGAUGGUGACGAAGUUGGUGAAUUUGACCAAGGCUCAUUUUGAUUGCCUUUGCGUGAUUGAGUUGAAAUCUACAUCUUUCUCAAAUGAUAAGGCAAAUGAUGUGCCUACGUUAGGCCUAAAUAAGUUAAGAAUAUACCUACAAUUAUUUUUAUUAAUAAAAAUCCUUAAAACAAAGAUGUUUAUUGCCUGUGAAAAUGCAAUAUGAGCAGAUGAAUGACGAUGGUGACGAAGUUAGCGAAUUUGACCAGUGCUCAUUUUGAUAUUGCCUUUGCGUGAUUGAGAUUAAGUCUUAGUGAUUUCCUUUUUGGCCUCAAUAGUCAAACUCAACCUCAAUAGUUAAACUGUGUUAUUUUCAAUGUUAUUAUUAAUUUGAAUAAUACAUCCGGUUCCAGGGAGGAUGGACCCCCCAAGAAAAAAAAAGAAAAAAGGCUCUCCCACGAGUGUUAUUUUAAAAGACGUCAUUGCUAGAUCAAAGGCUGGAAAAUUGCCCCUCAAUUUUGCCCGUCCCUCACAUAUCAAAGGUCUGCGGCUGAUUUUUUUGGUCGUUUUAAUUUAAAAUAAGGGGCCUUUUAAUAUCGUCAUCAUUGCUAAUAACAUCAAUCGAAACUGGAUAACAAUCAUGUUGACGAAUUCGGUUAGAAUUAUCAGACAGUUACCUGUAACCUGUUGUGAAUUCAAUUGGAAUUCAGUUGCCCGAGUUAGGCCUAAAGUGAUUUAUAGAAUUAAUAAAAUGUCCCUUUCGUCUAAUAUCAAUUUUAAAUUCUUUGAGUUCAUACUUUCAAUGACUUUUCAAACAGAUAUCAAAAUCUUUACUAACAGUAUAUCCAACAGCAGGUUGACAACUCGGUAUUGGAUGGUAGACAAGAUGUAAAGGAGGGCGACUGAGGUAUAUGGGAUACCUAGAUCAACGCAUAGGGAUAAAUUUCUCCACAGAUCGAUGGGAAGACACCAGUAAAAUCACUGCAUGUUUCCAGCCCUUACCUGUCCGUUGCUAUGGAAGCAAAUUUGGCGGCAUGGGAACAGCGGAUGGCAAAAUUCGGGGUGAAGAGACUAGAGUUACAGCAGAUGAUUCAAAAUUAAUUGUCGGUCUCGUCGUUAUUUUGUCUUUCUUUCCCUCUGAAUUUUUCUCGUUCAUUUUCGGGGGAUUUAAAGGACCAUUGAUGUAGUAAAGGAAAUGACAAUAGCGAGGGCAGUAGUUUUGUGUUUUAAUAUGGAACCGGUAAAUGAUGAUGUUGAAGGAAGUUGCAAUAAAACAAUAAGCAUAAUUAUGAAAAGGAUAGUGUAAGAAUAAUAGAUGAAGGCCAAUAUGAUGAAAUUAAUUUAUGUACAUUAACUUCAUUCAAAUUGUUUCAUCAAGAAGGCGUACCACACUUGUAUUCAAGAAAGAUUUAGCAUUGAGUGAAUUAAACAUAGUCUUCAAUGACCUCUUAUAUCACAAUGUUCCCUAAAACUUUGUUUGAUUUAUAAAAGGAAUGAUAUGAAAUCAAAAUUUCCUCUUCGCUUCCCCUAUAUCGGAGGCCGACGUAGAUCUUAUAAGUAUCAUUGAGCCAUUAAUUUGAUUGUAAAAAAUUUAAACUAAUAUUAAAUCCAAAAAAUGACAAAGAAAAUAUAUAUUCUACGCAGUUGUUACGCCCUGGUACUAAUUAUUUUGCAGUGCAAGAUUGAUUUUUACAUUCUAUUGUUUGUAUUCAUAUCAUUCUUAAUUUUAUAUAAAUUUUAUGUAUUGUACGUAGAUGGCCAAACAGUAAAUUUUGUUACAGAGUAUUUGAUUUAUUGAUUUCUUUCCAUUUAUGAAAGACACGAGUAUGAAACCUAUUUGCCAUUUGUAUUAAUUCUACAUUCACCUUGCCUUUCAUUUCAUAGACUGAAAAAAAUAAACAACAUCUUGACUGCAAAGA